rnacentral:lncRNA from 1 species
AUUUUAAAUGAGAUAAAAUCAUAGCAAAUCCAAAAGGCUGCCUUUGACUGCUGCUUCCUUUGACAGCUCGGGAUAUAUGCCUUUUAAAGAUGUCUUUCCUUUUAGAUGAUGUUCAUGGAAAUGAUGGUCCCAAACAGAAGGGGUGACAGUCGCAAUGAAGCUCAACUUGCUCCUGAGGCCUUCUCUCCAGGGAGAAGACGCCAGAGCUAUAAAGCUCAGCGCCGAUCCAGUAAAGCCAACUCCUACACAUUGAAAUAACCCCACUCAGUAAAUUGAAGAUCCAACAGGACCAGAAGCCAAAGAACCAGCACAUGAAGGAGGAACUUGACAGCAAUUGACUUUAUUACAUCAGCAAAAGCUAUUCUGUAACAUAUUGACUCCCCCACGCCCCCCCAACACUUUCCAUUUCAUGGCAAAUGUCCAUUGAAGUGCACACACAAAUGUGUGGAAAUGGGCAUUCGAUCGCAUUGCUGUAUAUUGGGGCUCAUUUGGAGAGGGGUCU